UCAUUCACUGUGGCCAUUUGGGGAGUGAACCAGCUGAUGGAAGACCUCUCUCUUGCUCUGCCUCUCCUCCUCUCUCUCUCUAACUCUGCCUUUCAAAAAAAAAAAAAAUCUUAAAAAAAAAAAAAAAAGGUGGGAACGUGGCAUUCCCUAAAGAAACUCUCCCUGGGAAGGGGCUUGCGAGGGCUUUUACGGCCAGGGCUGGGGGUGUUCAGGAUGUAGAAAGGGGCUCAGGUCCUUCCUGCCCACGCAUCAGACGUGGACAGGAAAGACCUGGUGCUGUGCCGGUUCUGCACGCGGACUGAGCACCGGGAGCUACGUCUCCUCCUGCCACUCGUGACAACAUCACCUUAGACAGCGUCACCUUAGACAACGUCACCUUAGACAGCGUCACCUUAGACAACAUCACCGUAGAUGUGAGUGAGCUACAUCCGAAGCUCCAAGACCCUGCAUCUAGUGGGAGUAGUCAGCGUGAGUUGGUGAGUUCACUUAGCUUGAUGUCGUGUGGAAGGUGAUGGGGUUUUACCUGAAAUCCUGCCAGCGUCUAAGAAGAUGAACCAUUGUUGUCAGCGUGUGCAGUUACUGGGGGCGGUGCUGUGGUGCAGCGGGUUAACGCCCUGGCCCGAAGCACCGGCAUCCCACAUGGGCACCGGUUCUAGUCCCGGCUGCUCUACUUCCCAUCCAGCUCUCUGCUGUGACCUGGGAGAGCAGUGGAAG